AUGGCCAAGCAGCUGCGGGUCUACCAAGUCUGGAGAGGCAACAACAUAAUCUGGUGUGGUGGGAGAUUGAUCUUUGGACCAGAUGCCAAGGCUACUCUACUAUCUUUCUCGCUGAUCGUGGCCCCUGUUGUUGUCUUCUGCAUCUUUGUGGGCAAAAACCUCAUACACAUCUUUCCUGCAUAUAACGCAGGGUAUGCAAUUCUGGUUGUUACCGUAGCCCUGACAAUUCAUGUACUGUUACUGCUCUUCUUGACCUCAUCUCAAGAUCCAGGUAUUGUACCAAGGAAUUCAAAUCCACCUGUGGAGGAGUUUUCUCAUGAUUCUUCAGCUCCUCAUACUCUCCAGUUCCCUCGGAUAAAAGAGAUCAUGAUCAAUGGUGUGCCCGUGAGAGUAAAAUAUUGUGAAACUUGCAUGCUAUAUCGGCCUCCUCGUUGCUCCCACUGUUCCAAAUGUGAUAAUUGUGUCGAGCGAUUUGAUCACCACUGCCCUUGGGUUGGUCAAUGUAUUGGACAGCGCAAUUACCGCUACUUCUUCUGGUUUGUUUGUUCGGCAGCAAUCCUGUGUUUCUAUGUAUUUACAAUGUCUGCAUUGUACAUCAGUCUACUCAUGAAGGAUCACCGUUCAGUGGUGGAGGCAAUUAAAGCCUCUCCAGCAUCAGUGGCAGUCAUGGGAUACUGUUUCAUUUGUUUCUGGUUUGUUGGUGGUCUCACCGGAUUCCACUCUUACCUCAUUGCAACAAAUAAGACAACAUAUGAGAAUAUCAAGUACAAGUACAGCAACCAACCCAAUGCGUUUGACCGUGGUUGCAUACACAAUUGCUUCGAGGUCCUGUGCACGAAAAGGAAGCCUUCUAGGAUCAACCUGCGAGCCAUCGUUCAAGAGGAACAUGUUGCGUCCCUGCCACGAAUCAGCCGUUCCAGUGUGCCCGAAGAUGAGACGCCCCACCGUCCACGAGCCAAAGUGGAGGAUGACCUUGAGAUGGGCCUUGACAUCCUGAAGACCUCACGGCGCCGGUCAGAUGAACUGAGUGACUUAGAGUUGGGCACUGCAAGCAAUGGUGCAAGAUAUCGCAGAAGUGAUUCAGACACUGAGAUCCCGGUUAUGACCAGAACAAUUACUGAGAGCUCCGAUCAAACUAGGGAUCUGGACUUCUAUUCAGUGACCAACGCUGCACAUCCCUCGUCUCCUGAGCAGAGGCAGCUCCCCGAUGAACUCCGCUGA
rnacentral:rRNA from 1 species